rnacentral:rRNA from 1 species
UACGGAGGGUGCGAGCGUUGUCCGGAAUCAUUGGGCGUAAAGGGCGCGUAGGUGGCUUCUCAAGCGUGCGGUGAAGCCUGGGCUCAACCCGGUCGGCCGUGCGAACUGGGGGCUGGAGCACUGUAGAGGCAGGCGGAAGUUCCGGGUGUGAGCGGUGGAAUGACGUAGAGAUCCGGAAGAACACCGGUGGCGAAGGCGGCCUGCUGGGCAGUUGCUGACACUGAGGCGCGACAGCGUGGGAGCAACAGG